ensembl:lncRNA
CGCGCCGUGGGUUCCGAGCGCCAUUUUGGCCCCUGCGGCCGGUCCUCGGGGCACCGUGGCCGCCCGUCCUAUCCGGCCGACCUUCCCUCGCGGGCCGUGCGCCCGGAGCCCACGCGGCGCCGCCUGGCGGGGUCUUGGCGGGACCGGCGGACUCUGAAUAAACUGAAAGCCAUUGAACUGUACAUUUUACGACACGCUCUGGAACUCACACUGUUGGCUCUUCGGGGUCUCCAGCUUGCCGUCUGCAAAUCCUGGGGCUUCUCAGCCUCUGUAAUUGUGCAAAUGUGGAGUUAGCCUCUAUCCAAACAUCAGACCUUGAUUUCGGUGCACUUCUUCGUGUCCUGCUGGGCUUGCUGUGGGCAUCCUUCCAAGGGUCUGCACCCAACACCUACCCGUUCAGGCUGUGAUGGCCCGGUGUCUUCAGCAGAGCUGGGCAGCAGGAGCUCAGCGUGCAAGCACUUCCACCUGCCGGACACCAGGCCACAAGGAGGCUCUGCAUGAUGAUGCAAGGAGCGGAGGCUCUUAAGGAGAAAACAUCUUCGUUGAUACCUGUCCUUUGAAUUCGCUUCUAUCCAGAUAAAUGGCGUUUGAUAAAUAGAUGUUUCUUAAUUUAAGUUGAGGCUUUCUGUUGGUUUUUAAAUGUGUGGCUUUGUGAUACUUCCUCUCGAGGAGAAUGAGACCCUGCAAGGGCAACUUACCUGUGCCAGGUCACGGAGCCAAUCAGGUCAAGGCCACAGCUCGAACGCAGGCAUUGAAACAAUGAUGACUUCUGUUGUCCUACCCAUUAAUCACUCUAACCUGGGAGUUUAAGCAAAUGCAAGUUCCGGAGGAAAUAUUUUGGGGCCAAUGGUCAUCUCAGAAUCUUCAGAGCACUGCCAAUUGUUUGCUUCCGUGACCCUGUGUUCACUGGAGCACUGGGGAGAUCUGUCUUGCUGGGCCUCUCACAGGUGUAUUAUUCUGAGCGUGUCUCCAUUAAGGAAGACUGUUGGUUUGUUUAUUGAUUUAUGCACUUGGUCGAAGUUAGGGUAUGUGAUCGGGGCGUCACAUUUCUGUGUCAGUGGGGGUCACGGAUAACUCAUAUGCACAGGACUUGACAGGAACAUGGGAAUUAUUAAGUCUGCUGUUCGGAGCCGUCCUGCCCAGGACUGCCUCUGGGGCUUGGGAAAAGGAAUACUCUGACGCAUCAACAUGGUGUGAGGGGGCAGCUUCUCCAGGGAAAAUGCCUCGGGGUGACCGUAUUCUGCCCAUGCUGUGAAGGGAUGCCUGGAGAGGACUCACCGUGUCUCUUGUGCCUCCAGCCUCACCUCCUGAAACUGCAGCAUUAAUAUGACUGCAAAGCUGCCUGAAGCCAGCCAUGUCACCUGGGCAUAGCAUCUAGUUCUAGACACUGUCUUCCUAGCAACCAGCGCAUCCUGCCAUGCCUUUGCAAAUCAUAACAAUGACCAGUCAUCAUACGCAUGCCCCACUGUAGCUUUACAAAGACAGCCUGUCUGUGGACACGGGCAGACGGUUACUUGAGGUGACAGGCUUGACCAAGCCUUUACAUCAAGGUAAAUGUCCAAUUCACAGAUGUCUUCUCUAGCUGCUUACCUGAUUGUCUGUUUAAAUAUAUCCAGUUAACUGAAUAAUGCUCUGAUUUUGUGUCAAGCAGACACAAACCUCAUUAUUAGCCAAAGAGUGGUCAUCACUCUCAGUUUUGAUGUCAAAUUCAGGAAAGCGCUUUUUAAUAUAAAGUAUUCUUCUCAUUGAUUCAUUCUCUUGUAUUUUUAAUCUCAUGUGCCCCCUGUUGUGCCAGGAGCUGGCAUGGCAAAGGGAGGAUGGAGCUGGGAAACCUGCAGCCCAGCAGGGGGAGGCGGUGAACGCAGC